rnacentral:rRNA from 1 species
UGGUCCGGCGAGUUAUUGUAUGCAGCGAGGUUAAGUAGUUCAGCUACGGAGCCGAAGUGAGAGCGAGUGUUAACAGCACGUUCAGUUGUAUGCAAUAGACCCGAAACCGGGUGACCUAUCCAUGUCCAGGAUGAAGUGAGGGUAAAACCUCAUGGAGGUCCGAACCCACUCCCGUUGAAAUGGUAGGGGAUGAGGUGUGGAUAGCGGAGAAAUUCCAAUCGAACCCGGAUAUAGCUGGUUCUCCCCGAAAUAGUUUUAGGACUAGCCUCGUGAUUAAGAUUAUCGGAGGUAAAGCACUGAAUGGCCUAGGGGUCGAGAGAUUACCGAAGCCUAUCAAACUCUGAAUGCCGAAUAAUCAUGCACGGGAGUCAGACUGUGUGAGAUAAGUUUCAUAGUCGAAAGGGAAACAGCCCAGACCUACAGCUAAGGUCCCAAAGUACGUUUAAGUGGAAAACGAUGUGAAAUUGCGUAGACAACCAGGAUGUUGGCUUAGAAGCAGCCAUACAUUAAAAGAGUGCGUAAUAGCUCACUGGUCGAGUGACUUUGCGCGGAAAAUUUAACGGGGCUAAAACGUACACCGAAGCUUAGGCUUGCAACUAUGUUGCAGGGGUAGGGGAGCGUUGAAUGAGGGGUGAAGUCGUAGCGAAAGCGACGGUGGACUUCAUUCAAGUGAGAAUGCCGGAAUGAGUAGCGAGAAUUAUGUGAGAAUCAUAAUGGCCGAAAGCCUAAGGUUUUUGGAGGAAGGUUCGUCCGCUCCAAGUAAGUCGGAAGCUAAGGUGAGGCUGAAAAGCGUAGCCGAUGCACAAACGGUUGAAAUUCCGUUACCACAGAAAGAUUUAAACUAAGGGACACUUUUGAAGAGCUGAUGCCGGGUGUUGGUUACCCCGGUCGUAAGGGAACGAAAUCAAGUAGUGAAGUCAGCGUGGAUGAAGGCGAGAAAAGCUUAGUGUAUAUCUUAUGUGUCCGUACCGCAAACCGACACAGGUAGGUAGGAAGAGAAUUCUAAGGCCAACGGGAGAAGGGUAGUUAAGGAACUCGGCAAAAUGUCCCCGUAACUUCGGAAUAAGGGGAGGUUUCUACGGAAACCCGCAGAGAAUAGUCCCAGGCAACUGUUUAUCAAAAACACAGCUCUAUGCUAAAUCGAAAGAUGACGUAUAUGGGGUGACACCUGCCCGGUGCCGGAAGGUUAAGAGGAGGAGUGAGAGCCCUGAAUCGAAGCCCCGGUAAACGGCGGCCGUAACUAUAACGGUCCUAAGGUAGCGAAAUUCCUUGUCAGGUAAGUUCUGACCCGCACGAAUGGCGUAAUGAUCUGGGAGCUGUCUCAACUGCCCGCCCGGCGAAAUUGUAGUACCGGUGAAGAUGCCGGUUACCCGCGACUAGACGGAAAGACCCCAUGGAGCUUUACUGUAGCUUAAUAUUGGAUUUCGGCAUUUCAUGUACAGGAUAGGUGGGAGACUAGGAAACAUAGGCGUCAGCUUAUGCGGAGUCGUCCUUGGGAUACCACUCUUGGAGUGCUGAAAUUCUAACCUGCAGCCCUGAAUCGGGUUGGGGGACAUUGUUAGGUGGGCAGUUUGACUGGGGC